CUCUGUUGUCAGGCUGGCGUAGCCUAGCUGAGGGACGAAGGAUUUGGGUGACUGAGCUUCUCCAGCCAAACCGGAGCCGAGUUUACCCUGGGUUCCUUGUCGUGGUUUUGUCAGAGGAGCGUUUGCUUUGGAUAACCGUUCUACAAUCAAUGUAAAAUGGUCUUCUGGAUAUAGACUUCCAAGUGGUUGGGUAUUUUUGUGUAAUGACAAAACAUAUCAAGCCCUUUCUUCACACUAUCGAGGUGUUUGUGGUGUGGGAUGCAUUCUUCCUGCUCUAAUAGACCAUCCAGAUAUAAGCAUAAGAGACUUCUCCAAACUCAGCCAUCUGACUGUGAUGAAAACUUGAAACUCUGAGAUCCUGCCGCUGUUGCAGGUGCAGCUGCGUUCCUCCUGCCAGUUCCUGGACUUGUCGUUGGAAUGCAGGAAGAGAUAUCUCAGCUGGCCUGUGCAUAUAGCAAAACAACAAAUAUGACUGCUUCUAUAUGAUCUGAACUCCACUAAGAACUGGGAGAAGUGCGAGCUGCAAUGCUUCAGAAUCGUGCUUCUAUAGACUAUCUGCUGUUAAAAGAGCAUGUAGGAUGUGAACAGUUACCAAGAAUGUGUUGUUUCAAUUUGUCUGAUUUUUCUCAAACUAUUCAAAAUCAAUUAGAUGAUAUCCAUCAUAUUGUCAAUAAGUUUUCACAAAUGCCUGGGUUACCUGACUGGUUUUCUUGGUUUUGUUGGAUAUGGCCAGUAAUUGUAGGCCUGCUUUUACUAUGUAUCUGUAUUCCUGCUUUGUUAAUGUGUGUACGCAAUUUAAUUAGUAGUUUGUUAAAACCUAUACAUGCUUAUGUUACUCUACAGGAAAUCACUUCAAAGAAAUAAUCAAUCUCAUAUUCUCUUCCAUCUGCUAAUUCUAUAGCUUUUUUUCUCCCUUUCAAAAUACAGCUCUUUACUAGAAUUUGUGCCUUAUAUUUAAAAUUGCUGUGUAUCAUAAUCCUUUUCACUGGCAACGAUGUCUUAAAGCAAGUGCUGGACAUAAGUCACAGGGCAUAAAUCUGUAAAGAAGUGGAAAACUAACCUUUUUCAAAGGAUAUUACUUCUCUCUCACUUACCAACUUUACAUCUCCCUGUAUGGCCCCAGAAGAUAGCUGGUUAGCCAGAGAUGGGUAAGAUUCCUCAAGGGAGGAACAAUCUAAGACAGGUACAGUUGCAGGGGGGCCAUCAGGUGAGAGAUUGGGGCCAACAAAGGUGAGGCUUAGAACCUCAACCCCCCCUCCCCCAGUUUUAAAAGAAAUCUUCCACACCCGUGGAUGUUUUGUUGCCCUUGCCCAGCUCAGAUCAAAACGCAGUCUAUAGGCAUAGACCUGCUCACCUGCACCUACCUUCUAAUUGCACUACAUUUAUUUUCUAUCUUUACUCUCCUUUACAUAAGUUCAAACCAUGGACUUUUAUUUUAUACUGUAGAAUGUAAAGAACUAUACUAUGUCAAAAAAUCGAUUAGAACUGGUCUACUUAUAUUCCUAUAUCUUUGUAUUACUUAAAAGAAAAGGGGGAUAUGUGGGAUUGAUGGGGUUAAUACAUAAUUCAAGUAAGGUAGAAGUCAAAUGUAUAAGCACACGACUUGAUUGUUUUUCCCACACACUCUGUUGAUGUGUAAUCAAGGACUGAGUGAUGAGAACCAAAGCAGUUCUCAUGGCUCGGAGCCAUCUUCACACAGUUUUGGUAUCCUUGAGAAGCGUCGCAUCCUUGGGCUACACUCAAGGCCGGAUAAUGAUGUUUGAGUUCAUUGUAAGUUCAUUUAUUCAAUAAAUAUGAGAAAUGCUUUCUCAGCAUUGCUCUUGAGCUGUUACACCUUGA